AAAAUGCCGAUUGUGAAUAGUUAAAUGUUAAAAUAAUUGGUAGCUUAUUUCUUUGAUAUUGGCUUCAUCUGGUCUGUUUAUAGAUAUUUUAUUCACGAAAACUUGAGGUGUGAGAGGGAUUAGAUACCCCAUUAAUUCAAGUGAUAAAUUAUGGCUUAUUGUAGAUUGGAUCUAUUUUUAACAUGUGAUCUUUAUCAACUUAAGGAGGAGGCUUUCAUUUUGGAAACUUAAAUGUUCUGGUGGUGAUUUUGAACAAUAGUGGAAUAGAUGAUUUAAUUCGAUCUUAUGCGAUAAAGCUUAUCUGUUAGUGACUUGAAUACCUCUGAUUUGGUAGAAUUCUAUCCAUUGGUAGUGCAUGGCUGCUCUCAGCUAAUGUUUUGUAAUAUCUGCUU
rnacentral:rRNA from 1 species